rnacentral:rRNA from 1 species
GAUGAACGCUGGCGGCGUGCCUAAUACAUGCAAGUCGAGCGAACGGACGAGAAGCUUGCUUCUCUGAUGUUAGCGGCGGACGGGUGAGUAACACGUGGAUAACCUACCUAUAAGACUGGGAUAACUUCGGGAAACCGGAGCUAAUACCGGAUAAUAUUUUGAACCGCAUGGUUCAAAAGUGAAAGACGGUCUUGCUGUCACUUAUAGAUGGAUCCGCGCCGCAUUAGCUAGUUGGUAAGGUAACGGCUUACCAAGGCAACGAUGCAUAGCCGACCUGAGAGGGUGAUCGGCCACCCUGGAACUGAGACACGGUCCAGACUCCUACGGGAGGCAGCAGUAGGGACUCUUCCGCCAUGGGCGAAAGCCUGACGGAGCAACGCCGCGUGAGUGAUGAAGGUCUUCGGAUCGUAAAACUCUGUUAUUAGGGAAGAACAUAUGUGUAAGUAACUGUGCACAUCUUGACGGUACCUAAUCAGAAAGCCACGGCUAACUACGUG